UUAAGUUCAGAUGCUUGUAAAGCAGGAUUGAUUCAGACUUUCUACUUUUCGUGAAGUCUAACUAAUCUAAGAUUAAUCUCAGUGAGGUCCAACAAUUACACAUUACAAUGUCAAAGUAUAAUAAAAAGUAAGGAUCUAUUUCGAUAUUAUGAUAAGAUUGAUAGAUCGAUCAAUAUCGAUGUAUCAAAAAGAAAGAAAAAGAAGAGAUACGACGGUGGAUUAUACUUUUCUUGCAGUGGAGGAUCAUGACUUGUGUUUUUGUUAAGGGAUAAAGCCACGAGGUUUCAGGUGGCCGACUUCCUUGGCCGCUGCUACUGGUGCGGGAAGAGGCUGCACGGGGAAGACAUCUGCAUGUACAGAGGGGAGACGGCAUUUUGCAGCGCGGAAGAGCCGGAACCGGCUGAUCGUCAGCGACGAGUACCGGGUGAUAUCGAGCUCUCCAUGCUCCGGCGGAGGAGCAACCCGAGGUUUCUAGGCAUGAUGAUAGUAGGUAGUAUCAGAGCACUGUAAUCUACAGCUGUUUGAGUUCAGGAAAGAUUUUCCUGUUGACUCAAGAAAGCCAUCAGUUUUGCAUCAUGAAGAACCAAAAGAUGCACUGAGGUCUUCACAUGUUCUUCAUGAUGAUUAGUAAGAAAAAGAUUGGCCAAAACA